UAGCCGCAGUACCUUGACUGUGCAAAGGUAGCAUAAUCAAUUGGCUUAUAAUUGAAGUCUGGAAUGAAUGAACAUAUGGGUGACUACUGUCUCUUGUAAAUUAACCAAAUUUAUUAAAUAAGUGAAAAUGCUUAUAAUUAAAUAAUAGACGAGAAGACCCUAGAAAUUUUGAAUAUUGUGUGAAUUAAUUUUUGUUGGGGCGACAUAGUAGCAUAAUAACCUACUAUAAAUACAUGAAGCUUAGUGUGAAGGAAGAACAAAUUACUCUAGGGAUAACAGCAUAAUUUAAAAGAGUUUAUGACCUCGAUGUUGGACUAGGAACUUGAAGUUUAAAAGAUUAAAAAUUUGGCUCUGUUCGAGCAUUUAUUCCUACGUGAUCUGAGUUCAGACCGG
rnacentral:rRNA from 1 species